ensembl:lncRNA
AUGUUUUUCUAGACUUGCAGCCCAGCCUGCUCAACCUGUUCACAUAGUUUUCCUUCUCAGAAAUCUUCCUUGCAAAUCUGUGCAGGGAGUUCCUUCAUUUGUUUUUCAACGUAGAUAAUGUUUGUUCAUUUGUUUAGGAUUUAGUCACUUUCUGCUGUGUUUUCAGGCUGGAAUCAUUGAGGGGAACUAAUCAGUAGCAACGUCUCUGGACGUGGAUGUCAGGAGUGAAGGUCCUGAAAGGAAUUAGUAGAACACCAUAGGAAAGAAACAAUUUAAUUAUGGAUAUGAAUAAAUUGAUGUCCACAUGUCAGAUGACCGGACCAGGAUUUGGUCUUUCUGUGUUUCUCUUGGCUCUGAUUGUUAUUUUUCAAUCCACCACAGCCCAGAACUACACUACGCUUCCAAAUAAUGCAUCAGUGGCCAUUGGUCAGCCUGCUGCUUUCCAGUGUGGUGUGUUCAAUUCUACUGGACAACUUAACUUCACCCUCUACGGCAGCCAUGAAAACAAAACCCUUAUCUGCCCGGGAGACCACACUGAGUACCUGGCUCUUCAGACAAUAAAAGGUUACUGCAACAAAACGGGCAAUAAGUAUUUUGCAACCUGGCUUAUAACUGUGACAUCCAACUCAGACAACAACACACGAGUGGUAUGCAAGAGCUCAGGGCAACCAGAAGUAGAUGGAUACCUCUCAGUGUAUGCGAAUGUCAGUAACUUUGCCAUCCUUAUUGGCUGCGUUAUUGGAGGUUUCUUCAGUAUUCUCAUCUUCUUUGGCCUGUUAUAUGUUGUUUUCAGGAGAUCUGAGAGUUUCCAACACUGUUUUAGGGGAAAAGACUGCGAGGAUGUCACCACAAUGGUGACAAAGGAUUAAACACAAACCUUUCAAUAAUGUUGCAUUAUUGUGCUUUUUGUAAUUAUAUUCACAAUGUUGUUUUUAAUUUCUUACUGUUUUCAUUCAGGCAUUAGCUAACAUUAAGUUUAAUCGCCUGACAGAAAAGUUUAUUACAUGAAAUUACGAUAGGCCUAAAAAAAAAAAAAAGAAAUCUCUUCUCAAAUUCUGUUUUUUCCCCAAGAAGUAACAAAAAACACUUGCCCAACUUUUUCUAAUUUUAAAAAAUAUUACUUGGGAACAAAAAGAUUUUAAACUUUCAUAGCAAGGAACAAAUUCACACCCCCAGAUGAUAAGUAGAGAAUAGAUUAUACACAUGCCAAUGUACUGUAGAGGAGAAACAUGGUUUUGCAAAGCCAAGAUUUGCCUUGAAGCAGAGUGUGAAUUAUAUAAUGACAAUUGGGAGAGGGUUAACUUUUUCUCCAUGGUGUAAAGGGAAUCCAGUAGUCCAGUAGCAGUGCACGCUACGUCGCAUGUUUGAUGUUUCUGACUGGUUUGAAUUUGCUGUUCAGAGUGCCUGCACAGCAAAUAUAAUUUCCCUGACCCACGCCUGUUACUUGGGUUGUGGUUUUUACUUUCGUUAGUUAUAGAGCCAUCACGGAAUAGGGAUAUUUUACGAAUACUCACUUUUAAUAAAUUGGUCUGAUUGAGAGGCAUGUUCAGAACAAUUUAUUGUAUAGUUUGAUUGACAAUUUGAGACAUAGCUGGAAUUUUGAGUUGUAAGCUUUGGCUUAAAAUAGAAAAAGGAAGGGGAAGAUUUGCGAUUUCAAUGAUUUUAAAUGCAGCCCUACACUUCAGCUGCACUUCUUAUAUUGCUCUUAGAGUAAUUAUUCAAAAAAUCAUAUAUAUAUAUAUAUUUUUUUUUACAAAAAAGUAAUAUAAAAGAUCUGGGCUUAUUCAGAAAAGACCUGCGACUAUAGCCCCAGACGCCCAGGCCUAAUGACGCCAAUGAUGCGGAGUUCCACAGGGAUCAGUUCUCGGACCGCUUCUGUUCAAUCUCUAUAUGCUACCUCUGGGCCAAAUUCUACAGAACAACAACAUUAACUAUGCCGAUGUUACUCAUACUCAUAUAUAUGGCUCUCGAACCGUAUUACAACAGCUCAAUAGACUGUGUCACCGU